GACCAUUCAUAUAUAGCAGAUAGAAGAGAAGAAAAAGAAAAUUUUAGAAACAAGAGAGAAAGACAGGCAAGCAAGGAGAGCCAGAACAACGGAUCAGAAUCAAAGCCAGCCAUAGAGCGGCAACUGGGGAAAUAGAUGGCAAAAGAAGAACAUAGCCAGGUGCCAGCGCCCCAGCGCCCAGACCACCAGCAAACAGACGAUCGCAGAGUUUUUAGACUCUUUGUGGAUUCAUAGCUCCA
rnacentral:lncRNA from 1 species